UACGUAGGUGGCAAGCGUUAUCCGGAAUUAUUGGGCGUAAAGAGGGAGCAGGCGGCAGCAAAGGUCUGUGGUGAAAGACUGAAGCUUAACUUCAGUAAGCCAUAGAAACCGGGCAGCUAGAGUGCAGGAGAGGAUCGUGGAAUUCCAUGUGUAGCGGUGAAAUGCGUAGAUAUAUGGAGGAACACCAGUGGCGAAGGCGACGAUCCGGCCUGCAACUGACGCUCAGUCCCGAAAGCGUGGGGAGCAAAUAGG
rnacentral:rRNA from 1 species